GAACCUGUGAUGAAAUCAGUUAAAAACACACCAUCUUUCGGGACUGAAUGGUUUAAUGCCUUGUUGACAUCAUCUGCAAUUCUGAGGUUC